rfam:Picea glauca, whole genome shotgun sequence.
UCCUAUGCACAUGCCUAUAGCGUUAAUGCACCAGAUCCCAUAAGAACUUUGUAGUUAACUGUGCUUGGGCUAGAGUAAUACUUAGAUGGGUGACCUCCCGGGAAGUCCUAGAGUUUUACAUGCC